rnacentral:rRNA from 1 species
GGCCGACAGGCGUAGUCGAUGGACAACCAGUUGAUAUUCUGGUACCGACACACAACCGACAAUACCAAAACACAUGAGACUAACUCCCCGGUCCACCCGUGGCGUCUUCGGAUGUCUGGUUGGUGGGGUGGUGAGGACCUGAGUGUGGAGUCGGUAAGCGUGAGGUGUGACGCAGAAAGGUAGCCAGGCCACGCGAUGGUAGUCGUGGUCUAAGGUCGUAGCAUGUGGGGGUAGGCAAAUCCGUCCCCACACAAGUGUGAGAGCUGAUGGGCGCCCCACAGUGGUGGGGUGAUCUGGUGAUCCUCUGCUGCCGAGAAAAGCAUCGACGUGAGGGUGUGUGUUGCCCGUACCCUAUAACCGACACAGGUGGUCAGGUAGAGAAUACUAAGGUGAUCGAGAGAAUCGUGGUUAAGGAACUCGGCAAAAUGCCCCCGUAACUUCGGGAGAAGGGGGGCCAUCCUGGUGAACAGCCCUUGCGGUUGGGAGCUGGUGGUGGUCGCAGAGGCCAGAGAGAAGCGACUGUUUAUUAAAAACACAGGUCCGUGCGAAGAUGUAAGUCGAUGUAUACGGACUGACGCCUGCCCGGUGCUGGAAGGUUAAGAGGACCCGUUAACCCUUGGGUGAAGCGGAGAAUUUAAGCCCCAGUAAACGGCGGUGGUAACUAUAACCAUCCUAAGGUAGCGAAAUUCCNNNNNNNNNNNNNNNNNNNNNNNNNNNNNNNNCUGCACGAAUGGCGUAACGACUUCUCUGCUGUCUCAACCACGAACUCGGCGAAAUUGCAUUACGAGUAAAGAUGCUCGUUACGCGCAGCAGGACGGAAAGACCCCGAGACCUUCACUAUAGUUUGGUAUUGGGCUUCGGUGUGGUUUGUGUAGGAUAGGUGGGAGAUGUUGAAGCCUGGUCGCCAGAUCGGGUGGAGUCGGCAAGUGAAAUACCACUCUGACCAUUCUGGAUUCCUUAACUUCGGACCCUGAUCGGGUUCAGGGACAGUGCCUGAUGGGUAGUUUAACUGGGGCGGUUGCCUCCUAAAGAGUAACGGAGGCGCCCAAAGGUUCCCUCAGCCUGGUUGGCAAUCAGGUGUCGAGUGUAAGUGCACAAGGGAGCUUGACUGUGAGACGGACGUGUCGAGCAGGAGCGAAAGCUGGGACUAGUGACCCGGCCAUGGCUUGUGGAAGCGUGGUCGCUCAACGGAUAAAAGGUACCUCGGGGAUAACAGGCUGAUCUUGCCCAAGAGUCCAUAUC